GUUUUGGUAUAGCAUUGACGUAUUUUAUUGGAGUUGUCAUCUCCUGGCGGAUCCUGGCUCUUCUAGUUACCAUCAUAAGUUGAACUCACUUUCUUUGAUUGACUUAAUUAUAAAAUGAUAGCUUUAUGCAACAGGACUCUUUAUAAUUAAAUGCAGGAAUCAUCCCUUCUCUAGCACAGCUUUUAGGUCUAUUAAUCAUUCCAGAGUCACCAAGAUGGCUGG
rnacentral:misc_RNA from 1 species